rnacentral:rRNA from 1 species
AUACGUAGGUGGCAAGCGUUGUCCGGAAUUAUUGGGCGUAAAGCGCAUGUAGGCGGUUUGGUAAGUCGGUCGUGAAAAUGCGGUGCUUAACGCCGUAUGGCGAUUGAAACUGCUGAACUUGAGUGCAGGAGAGGAAAGGGGAACUCCCAGUGUAGCGGUGAAAUGCGUAGAUAUUGGGAAGAACACCGGUGGCGAAGGCGCCUUUCUGGACUGUGUCUGACGCUCAGAUGCGAAAGCCAGGGUAGCGAACGGGAUUAGAUACCCCGGUAGUCCUGGCCGUAAACGAUGGGUACUAGGUGUGGGAGGUAUCGACUCCUUCCGUGCCGGAGUUAACGCAAUAAGUACCCCGCCUGGGGAGUACGGCCGCAAGGCUUAAACUCAAAGGAAUUGGCGGGG